CAAUAGCGUAUAUUAAAGCUGUUGCGGUUAAAAAGCUCGUAGUUGGAUUUCUGUCAAGGACAACUGGUCCGCCCUCCGGGUGAGCACAUAGUUUGGUCUUGACAUCUUGCUGGAAGCUGUUGCUGCACUUGGCUGUGUGGCGCAGUGUUCAGCACUUUCACUUUGAGGGAAUUGGAGUGUUUCAAGCAGGCACAUGCCUUUGGACACAGUAGCAUGGAAUAAUUAGAUUGGGCUUUUGCUCCAAUUUGUCGGUUUCUGGAGCUGAGGUGAGUAUUAAUGGGGAUUGUUGGGGGCAUCCGAAUUUAGCCGUCAGAGGUGAAAUUCUUGGAUCUGCUAAAGACGGACAACUGCGAAAGCGUUUGCCCAGGAUGUUUUCAUUGA
rnacentral:rRNA from 1 species